GAAGCAUUCAAUUUUUAUUCCAUGUGAUUAAGGGUCUUUAUUUAUUUUCUAUUAAUGAAGGGAUAUUUUAUGCAAGAGCGGAUGGGAUGCUCAGGGGAGAACUAACAACCUUUUGUGAAAUUUGAUCCAUGCCUUGAAAUCAGGCCAAAGGAAGCACUGCACAUUGUCUACACCAAGGUGCUCAAAAUGUACAGGACAUUAGAACAGUAAAGAGAUCACAGUGAUAACUAAUGACCUUCAUCAUUUACACAGAAGCACAAAUGACCAAUAUGGAUCUCCUUUCUCAAAAAAAGGGCAGAUAAUGUUUGUCCCUGUGUUAGUCAACUUUUUCUUACUACGAUACCAGUACCUGACAAGGACAAUUUAGAGGAAGAAAACUUUCUUUUGGCUCAAGGUUCCAGAGGUUCAGUCCAUGGUGUUGUACUCUAUUGGUCUGGGCCAAAGGUAAGGCAGAACAUCAUGGAGGAGGGGCACGGUAGAAAAGAACUGUUCCACUAAUGGUGACCAGGAAGCAGCUAUUAUGACUGAAAAAGUGUCAUAAGGAAGAUGAAUCUUUCCACCACAUGCUCCAGUGAUCUAACUCCUCCAGACAAAUACCACCUGCCCACAGUUACUAUCUAGUUAGUCUAUUCAAACUAGGAUGGACUGAUUAGGUCACAGCUCAAGUAAUCUAAUCAUUUCACAUCUGAGUAUUCCUGCAUUAACACAAGAGUUUUAGGGGACACCUCAUAUCCAAACAAUAACAGAUUUUAUAAAUUUUCGAGAUCAAAUAAGACCCUUAGGCUGUAAUUUGAAUGAGAACAAUGGGAGUUGGUGUCUGAUAUAGCACCUUAAAUUGAGUCAACACCUGAAUUUGGAUGGGGAGCAAAGUGGAAAAAAAUAAAAAUUACAAAUGCCUUACUACUCAAAGUUUGGCUUAUCAACUGGUUAAAGUUGUAUUUUCAUAUAAUCAAGUCUGUAAACUUUUCUGAGUCUAUCAUUUUGGGAAAAAAAAAUGUUACUUUGAAGCAAAUUGUUUUCUAUUUUUUUUUCCCAAUAGUUGUUUCCGGGAAUUAGAUUUUUGUAACCAUGGUACACUUUCCUCCUAUGGUGAAUCAUUUGAACACGCAACUACACAAGGGGUUCUGCCUUAGACUCAUGAGUUCUGAUUGGUGUUGGCAGCUGUGUAUUUUAAGGGAGCAGAUCAAUACCUAUAGACUAACUGGCUUAGCUGAAAUUACUGUUAACUGCCAACUUUGUCUUCUUUAAGAAAAAAAAAAAAGGAUUUUCUUCCCAACAAAGACUCUUUAUAAAAGUAAUAAGGUAAUGGCAUGAAGUGUGCUUACCAUGCUGUAAUCACACCCCGGGGGGAAUGAGAGGUGCGCCACUGCACCUUUUGCUUUGUAAUGACCCAGGGGUGUGAUUAUCAUAUGACAGCCACACUCCCUGUCAUGCCUUAUUGCUUAUAUAUUCCACAUGUCAUAAUGAAUCCUGAAGCACUUUCUAGGUCUCAUAGCAAAGGCAAUGACUUUGAAGUACAGGAAGUUGCCAGAUUUUCCAGGUACACAUAGAUUAACACUGUAUACAUUAGGGGCAAUCAUGAAUGACUAUUUUUAAGUGCCAACCAAGACACACUUAUUGGGGAACUUUUUUCUUGGUUAAAAAUCUUUCUUUGGCUAACUUUUAACUUUUUUAAUCCUCUGUUCUAAUUUUGAUGACUGUUAAAUUAUUCUGUUUCUGUACAGUACAUUAUACUCCUCCAAAACCAUCUGGGAAAUAACAUCGAUGACAUAAUUAUCUUGCAGUUAUCUGAUGUGAUGUUUUACUACAAAAAUUGGAGAAUGAUGAGUUCUCCAACACAAAAAUUAGUUUCAUUUUAUUUUAAAUGCCCAUUAUUUAUGAAUACUGACCAUUGUGGCUACAGAUUUCUACAUCUUCAGGUGUAAUAUUUGAGGGAGGGACAUUGAGAAAACAUUCAAAUUUAUUCCAUGUGAAUUAGGGUCUUAGAUUUUUUUUUUUCCUCAGAUGUUAGAGUUGCUACAUUAGCUCUAGUUAUAGUGUUGAUUUUAUGUUAUUUGGAUGUAGCAAUUUAGCUUUGAGAUUCUUCAUUGCAACUGUUAAUAUAUUCAAAUUAAAAUGUGUAGGGUUAAUAGUAGACCUAUAGGGAAGGAGAGAGAUCAAGAAUAAGAGAUUUCUGAAUCUAGCAUGAAGUUUUAAUAUAAUAAGACAACAAGGCAAUAAACUAAGCAGUUAUUUUUGAUGCAACUUGCAUGAUUAUCAUACCACAGAAUGAAUCUGCACCUCAGGGAGAGGUUUCUAAGUAAUUUUGCAACCUUCAAAAUGUACAGAGCAGACAACACUUAAGUCCUACUGGCUCUUGCAGAGAAAAAUCUGCAGUGCUCUCUUUAUCCUGUCAUUGUAACCCAGGUGAUGAAGAUGGUGGCCUUUCACGCUGAUGAGUUGAUUCAAUGUCAGUGUCAACCUCAGGAUCAACCAUGUUAACCUUAGGUCAUUUCAAGGAAAACUGUGUGCCCAAAGUGACGAUUAUUUAGCUGCCUACUGCAUAAGUGGAGAUUCUUCUGAUUACCAUAAAGGUCAAAUAUGCACACUCUGACUGGUGGUAAUGAGUAGUUUUAAAGAUGUUUUAGCCUUUUCUUAAUCUUGCAUUGUCACCAAGGCUUCUAUUGUUAUGCACCAAGGAAUGUGCUUCUAAUUGUACCAUUUGCCCUUAUUGUAGCUUGUACAUAGAGCCAGUAGUGUGAUGUUACUUAUGUAACCACCCACCACAUGUCCUAAUAAUUAUUAGCUUUCAAUAAAAUGUAUAAUAAGGUAACUAGAGUCUGGAAAAACCCAAGGUUCUUAAAAGUUGAAAGCAAUAUUUAAGAAGCUUGUGUAUCAAGUUCUGAUAAGAGUGGAGAACAAAAUAGGGUAUAAAAAUAGUUUUUAAGGUAUGAUUUUUUUUUUUUUAAAUUAAGAGGUACCUUAGGAGACUCCAAAUACUAGACAUGUGUGUAUGUGUGAAUGCAGAAGUAUUUGUACAUAUAUAUUCCCAUAUAUGUAAAAUAUACUUGUAUAUGUGUUUAUGUUGUGUUUACAUUUUUUAUUAUUUAAAAUUCACCUUAG
rnacentral:lncRNA from 1 species